rnacentral:rRNA from 1 species
GACGAACGCUGGCGGCGUGCCUAAUACAUGCAAGUCGAACGCAGUGGGGACGGGUGAGUAACACGUGGGUAACCUCCCAUCAGAGUGGAUAACACUUGGAAACAGGUGCUAAACCGAUACUGAUGGAUGGACCCGCGGUGCAUGAGCUAGUUGGUGAGGUAACGGAUCGCCAAGGCCACGAUGCAUAGCCGACGUGGGAGGAUGGCCAGCCACACUGGAACGUAGACACGGUCCAGACUCCUACGGGAGGCAGCAGUGGGGAAUAUUGCAGAAUGGGAGCAAGCCUGAUGCAGCCAUGCCGCGUGUAUGAAGAAGGACUUCGGGUUGUAAGACUUUCAGCGGGGAGGAGCGUUACCCGCAGAAGAAGCACCGGCUAACUCCGUGCCAGCAGCCGCGGUAAUAC